UUUCCUCAGAAAAUUAAGACUUCAAUAUAUAUUGAAUUUCAGUAAAUGCCAAGUACAGAUAGAAACAUCGAUAAGGAGGAGUAUUGGAAAAUUAUUCACAUUCCAGACAAGGCACCUAUUCCACCACAUUUGCAACCCACAGUGAAUGCCUAUGCUUCAGUAAUUAAUCCAAACGUGCUAACACACUUAUAAGGAGGUUGAAUAAGAUUUCUCCACUCGAAGAUCUUCGCCAUGUGAAGCGCAUAUGCAAGAAGUGUGUUGAAGGUGUGCUUAAACUCUGAUACCAACGUAUGCGAUAUCAUAUGCCUUGCUUCCUGUGGGUUUAUAAUAGAUAAACAUCAAAGUAAGGAUCUAUAAUCUGUUUAUGCUCUAGGAGAUAAAUGUGUCGAUUGAUUUUGGUACUUUUAACUUGUUAUUGAGUACCAAUGGGACUUGC